rnacentral:rRNA from 1 species
UACGAAGGGGGCUAGCGUUGCUCGGAAUCACUGGGCGUAAAGGGUGCGUAGGCGGGUCUUUAAGUCAGGGGUGAAAUCCUGGAGCUCAACUCCAGAACUGCCUUUGAUACUGAAGAUCUUGAGUUCGGGAGAGGUGAGUGGAACUGCGAGUGUAGAGGUGAAAUUCGUAGAUAUUCGCAAGAACACCAGUGGCGAAGGCGGCUCACUGGCCCGGUAUACGA